CAGAGCCAAGUCUGAAUUCAGGAAGCCCAACACAGGCAGGGUGUUGGCUCACUGACUAAUAAACUGCUAAAAAUGGUAAGUGGCCAAACACAUCGGGGCCUGGAAUUGUGGCUGGGGAAGGAAAGAGGAACUAGCCCGAAGGGGGCUGAAAAGCAGGGAAGGCUGCGUAGCGGCAGCGCGGCAGGCCUCCCAGCGCCAAUGUGCAAGGGUGGGGCCGAGGCUGGGGAGCGCGGCCCGCGGAGCUGCCCAAACCGCCUCCUCCCGAGACGUGCGGCCCAGCCGCUUCUCCCGCGUGUGAGGUGGUGCCGCGUCCGCCGCAAAUCUCGGCCCCUUCCCCCCACCCCAGAGGGCCGGGGGAGGGCUGCCCGCACUGCCGGGCCCGACACGCGCUCUUGACCCUCGGCCCCGGGCUCUCCUUAGGCGCGCGGGGCGCGGAGGACGCUCCCGCACGGGUGAUGGGGCUACGGGUGUGAGCGCGGCAGCCGCGACACCGCCCACCCAGCCUGCCGCAGCCGCGACCCGGCGCCCGGGAGCCGUCCCCGCCCACGGGCCGCGGCUGCCCGCACCUGGCGGCCGCGCGCCCGCCUACCUUGCUCCUUCAGGCUGGUGAUGAGCUGCAGCUGCUUCUCCUCGUCCGAGCUGUUCAUUUUGGCAGAAUGCUGUUCUUAGCAGCAUUAUGCACAAUAACUAAAAGGCAGAAGCAAACCAAGUAUCCACCAACCGACGCAUGGGUUAACUAAAUGUGGUGUCCAUAUACAAUGGAAUUCUUCAGCCUGAAAAAGGAAGAAAAUCCUGACCAAGCUACAGUAUGGAUGAACCUUGGGUACAUGACGCUAAUUGAAAGAAGCCAGUCACAAAAAGAUGAGAAGCUGAGCAACUAGAUUAACUUGCCCUGAGCCUUUCGGCUACCACAUUCAAGUGUAUUUCUGCGAUGCCACAUGGAUUAGAGGGGAGGAGAGAACUGGCCACGCAGACUAGAGGGGAGGAGAGAAAUGGCAGGUGAACACCGGGAGAUCCACUCUGCCCCUGCCAGUGUAACGUGUGGCUUCUGUACCGAGUCAUGGCCCCUGGGGCAGUCAUCGGCACUGGUAGCCCAUAGGCCCGGUCCCUCUCCUGAGCUUCCUACAGAUAGAACUCCAGCUGCCCACAGCCCAAGAUCGCUCCAGUCACAGCAGAUGCUAUCAGAAUUCAGGGGUUGGGGGGAAGGGAGAAGGCUGCACACAAAAUUUGGGGAGUGGGGGGGUGCAGUGCUAUAUUUCAAAAAGAUGGUCAUGGCACUUUGGAAAUAUUGGUUUAAAGUCCAUGGUGUGCCCCCUUUUAGCUAACUUCAGCUACUUCUCAUUUUUCUAACUGUACAUCCACAUAUUUUCAUUAGAAAGCUAAUGACCUCAAAGCACUCUCAGCAAAUACUGAAUGAUCCUAUCUUGCAAUCUCUAAUAGCCUAUGUGCUGACUUAGUGUCAUAAAUUAAUAAAGUACAUGUCAAAGCAUAUAAUCAAACUCU